CAGAGCAAUCAGAGAAGAGACAGAAAUAAAAGGCAUCCAAACAGGAAGACAGGAAGUCUAACUAAACCUGUGUGAAGAUUACAUGAUUCUGUAUCUUCAAAACCCUAUAGUCUCAGCAGGAAAGCUCUUUAAACUGAUAAACAACUUUAGCAAAGUUUUAGGAUACAAAAUCAACAUAUAAAAAUAAG